rnacentral:tRNA from 1 species
GGAGAUUUAGCUCAGUGGUAGAGCGCUUGCCUAGCAAGCGCAAGGCCCUGGGUUCGGUCCCCAAGCUCCG